GGCCGUAGAUUGCCUAACACUGGUGUAUGUGACUGUGCCCGCCCGUUUCACUCCUGCAGGGUUCCCAGAGACUGUCACGAGCCAUCGAGCCCUGUGCUUCGAGAAAGGUGGCAGAGAAGCCUGACGAAUGGCUGCUCGUAGUGGAGCAUGGAGUGGUUAUAAACCUCCGGAAGUGUAGUCACCCUGUGCCGGGUGCCAGGAAGUAUCUGUGGAGUAAAUUCUGACCCUCUGCUGUCGGCAGAAAGCCGAACCCAGAGCCGCGAGAACGGGGCCAGCCACAGCCUGCACCCGUCCUCACAUUUCACGGGCGCUUUGUGGGGACAGGAGCCUUAAUACGUGUCAGCCAAGGUGACAGCAGCGUCAAUGGGUGGCUUCACUCCCAGUCAAGACCACGUGGGCCAAGAUGGCUGCCUCUCAGCUGCCGUGCCGGCCCCAGAGGGGGCUGGAGCUGGGAGGCAGGAGCCACACCACAACCAGAUCCAAAACAAAAAUUAAUCCUUAAGUUGCAUCCUGGCUCCAAAUGGGCUCAACCACUAAGAAGCAGCCACAAAAUCGGUUAAAGCUUCCAAAGUGUGUCUCUCCCCAGAAAUCUCUUAGAAAAGGCAGAAGAUUUACAAGAUGUGAAAAGUAAAACAAGGAGCUGUGGCCCCAGAACCUGCCUAACUGCAACCCAAAAGCCCACCCUUCCCUAACCAGACCUGGUAGAAUAAUAGAUGGUGUUUUAUUGGAGAAAGAAUUUACACGGAAAACAAGUGACUGUCACAGCGUUCCCGCUCCAAGGAUGCAGACCCUGACUCCAGGAUGCUCUCUGAAACCCAAAGGGGACCUCGAUUUCUGAUCCUCUCCCUUUAUCCAGCCAUGUCCGCACCUGUAACCAAAAGGCAUGACCCCUGUUACAGGCGCACAGGCAAACAUAU